rnacentral:misc_RNA from 1 species
UUGUGAGAAACCUUUGAUACCUUGCAAUGAUACUUCGAAUGGGAAUGGUAAAUUGUCAGGGGGAGCAAUUGCUGGGAUUGUAAUUGGCUGUGUUAUUGGAUUUUUGCUAAUUCUAAUGAUUUUGAUCAUAUUGUGUCAAAAAAAGAGAACCAAACAAGGAGUUGCUAAAGAUACUCAGGAGCCAAAGAGGGGCGAAGUUGAAAUUCCCCGCGAAAAGGCAGUGGCUGACAGGGGUAAUGCAAGCACGGGGUUCGCCGGUGCAGCGCCGGUGGCAGCAGCUGCAGCGGCGAUCGCCAAAAGUGAAGCUAAGAGUGGUGGUGGCACUAAAAGUUUGGUGUUCUUUGGGAACACCCCAAGGGUGUUUGAUUUGGAAGACUUAUUGAGAGCUUCUGCAGAAGUGCUUGGGAAGGGGACUUUUGGGACGACCUAUAAGGCCACCUUAGAGAUGGGAGUGGUGGUGGCUGUGAAAAGAUUGAAGGAUGUGACGGUAACAGAGAAGGAAUUUCGAGAGAAGAUUGAAUCUGUUGGGAAGAUAAAUCAUGAGAAUUUGGUCCCAUCAAGAGCUUAUUAUUAUAACAAGGAUGAAAAGCUUCUUGUUUAUGAUUACAUGCCAAUGGGAAGCUUAUCUGCACUUUUACACGGAAAUAGAGGAGCUGGUAGGACUCCAUUGAAUUGGGAGACCAGGUCUGCAAUUGCCCUUGGAGCUGCCAGAGGGAUUGCAUACCUACAUUCUCUGGGCCCUGCGAUCUCACAUGGGAACAUUAAAUCAUCAAAUAUUCUGCUUACUACAUCCUUUGAAGCCCGUGUCGCCGACUUUUGCCUUGCCCAACUUGCAGAUCCUGCCCCCACUCCCAACCGCGUAGAUGGCUAUCGUGCUCCAGAGGUGACAGAUGCUCGCAAAGUAUCCCAAAAAGCAGAUGUUUACAGCUUCGGGAUACUGCUCUUGGAAUUGCUUACAGGAAAGGCUCCCACUCAUUCCCACUUGAAUGACGAGGGAGUAGACCUUCCAAGAUGGGUUCAGUCUGUGGUUAGAGAUGAGUGGACUUCAGAGGUGUUUGAUCUUGAGCUUCUCCGAUAUCAGAAUGUAGAGGAGGAUAUGGUUCAACUCUUGCAGCUAGCAAUCAAUUGCACUGCUCAGUAUCCUGAUAACCGGCCUUCAAUGGCAGAGAUGAGAGACCAAAUAGAGGAGCUUUGCCGUUCUAGCUCACAAGAGCGUGACACACAUCUUGAUAUUGAGGAUGACAAGGCCUCCCAACAGACGUACUCGGUUGAUUCAGGUGCACCGCCACCUUAAUUCAUUAAGGGCUAAAGAAAGAUCAUUUGAUCUUUCAUUGUUUCCACAUUUUUAAUACACUUAUUACUUUAGUGUUUCAAUUGUUUGUUUAUUCUUGGGUUCGUCCAUGAGGACCAACUGUGCAUGUUCAUUUUCCCCCUUUACUCUUGUCCAUUUUUCCUUUGCCCUCUUUCAAAGCACAGAUUUACUUUUGCACUUGUAAGA